CUGGAAUAUGAAAUUUCAGUUCUGCUGGAAGCCUUCCAAUUUCAACAUUUAUUUUUCUUCCUUGAAAGAAGAAGGCAAAGGGGGAAGCACGCAGAGGCAGGGGGGCGGGGGGCUAGUUGCAGCGGCAUGCAGCAGUCUCACCAAUGAAUCCUGACACUUUGUUUUUGUUCAGGCUUCUCAGAAAUGCUUAUUUGGGAACGGGGCAUUUUCAAAUGUCAUAUUGUGAUGGAAAAUGCCUUAUCUAGUAAUACUAGCUAACCUUCCUCCGGCUUGAGAUGCCUGAAAAAAAUCUCACUUGGCUCGGCUCCACGCAGCUGACGGCCGACCCCCUUCCAGCCCCAUGGCCACAGGGGGCACAGGCUGGCCCCUCUGCGCCCGGGGUCCCUGCAGGUUGCCAAGAGGUUGCAUUUGGAAAGGGGGCUUGCCCCCACUGCUGGGAGGGCUAAAGGACAUGCUGCAACUAUCACGCAUGCUUCAGAAGCCCGGGUUUGAAAGCAGCAGUUGAGAUCUGCUUGAUUAAACAUUCACUGUGUUCCCAGGACUGGGCUGCUGCUCCUCAGAUAACUGGGAGUAAAUCACAGGCAAUUAGCGAUUUGUCUGAGGUGCUCCUUGACUCAGAGCCCUGUAGCGAAAUCCUACCGUUACUCAUUAGCCCACACAUCCUCCUUCCUCUCCGGGUGGCAUCCGAGCAGCCUCGUCGGGGUGCAGGGAGCACGGCGAUGUCACUUCACGUUUAUCUAGGAAAAAAGUUUCCCACACUCCUUCGUGGCUCUUUUUGUUUUGAUUCAGAGAUUUUGUUUUUCUGGAGAGUUAAAAUAAAUCUCGAACUGCAGCAGCAGCACUUUUCUGAACGCAGUGUUUGUUGCUAGAUAAUCCUGUGAGGGAAACAUGCUAAAAAGCAGUGCAGCAGACUUGUCACCAGUCCAGAGCUGGCUGAACGAGGCUGAUCCAGUAGUUAAAAUGUGGUGUGACAUUUAUGCGUGGCGUAAAGCACUUGCGGUCACUCGGAGCUUGUGACCACUGCUUCUCUUCUUUCUGGACACGGACUGCUCCUCACGGCCUUUCUCUCCGACCAUUCAAGCUGUCAUGGCAGUGUACCAUCAAAAGUGACUGGAGUGACAUUAAUGGAAGUUAAACAGGGUGUUGACCUUCUCCAGAAGGUCUGAACCAGCACUUAGAGCCUCCACCUCACUGCACAUUUGUGUGGUUUGAGAAUGCCUCCUGUGCGAUGGUCGGGGUGCUUCCAUCUGGAGGGCUGUUUCCAAGAGAGCCCAGAAAAUAGCACUCUCUUUGCAGGAGAUUGGAUAUUUGUAGGCCAGAUUCAGACUUGGUGUUACCUGGAACAACUCUAUUGACUUCAGCGAGGUUUCACUCAGUGGUGGGACGCAGAAAAUGGCCCGACAAAUACGAUUUUCAAAAUAAUCAACGGUCUUUUCUGAAAAAUAAAAAAGUUAAGAAAAAGAAAGAAAAGAGGAAAACCACAGCUGUACUGCAAGCAGUGCCCCAGCAAUCCUACGACAGCAGACCAGGCUGGCUGUAACUACGGAAGGUGGCAGGGGCAGAAAGGAAUGCCUCCGUUUCUCAGUUUGGCUUUUUUUCCCCAAGUGAAGAAAGUUGCUAUUGUUGUUAGUUUGUUUUGAAACUGAUAGAAAAUGCUGAGUGAAAUGACUGAAGACUGAAUUGCUGGAAAUAUCUGUGAGAUGAGUUUUGGAAGGCAGCAGCCAUCAUACACAUUCCCAUCCGUAGACCACGCCACCCUUAGCGAGCGGGCACAGGACUACUGCAAUGGAAAAAAUGAGCAGUUGUGGCCUCCCAGCCUCUCCCUCCUUGUAGAGAACUCAGAGGAACAUCCCGGUGGAGGCACUUUGGAAAGUGCCAUGCCACUUUCCUUGCCAUCCUCCACUUUCCUUGCCAUCCUACCCUCGUUACGUACAAGCCGGCUCUGUAAUUAUCCCUCUGCUGACCAUGGGUAUUUUCCAGAAGUGACUCCUCACUCAAGAUAACCAAAACACCAGAGGGCAGCAGAAGUGUUAGAGCAGGAAUUGCAAAAGCAUCGACCUUCCCAGAAAAGCACCCCUAGGACAGAGAAAUGGCACCGUGUAAGAGGUUGAUAAUGCCUAAACGUUACUGAUUCAUAGUGAAAGUGGAAGAAAAGCAAUGUAAUCAUGACACUACCAAAGCCGUGCAACGGUUACUUCUGAGCAGCACUGAUGGAAGCUGUCAUGACCCACAUGUGUGAAAAAUAGAAGAGAAAUACUGACAGGCUGCUGAGAGUGAUAGAUACAGGAGGUCUUUAAUUCUCAGUGAAUCAUACAAUAGUGUGAUGGCUCCUAAAAACUGUGUGCUCCCUCCUCUACUGAAGAAGCCAUAUGUAUCCCACCCUCUGGACUAGGGAGUGCAGAUCUGCAUAAGCACCUUCUCCAGACAGCAACACUUGCCAGUUCUUCUUGCCUCUUCCAUCUGAUGCGGGUAAUUAAAACCAGGAUCGUGGAUUGUAACCCUCUGGGGCCGUCUUACAAUCUCCAGGCAGUCCCAUGGCACAGGUGUCUGCCACUCCUUAGGGUGGAAAAAUCAUGAGAUGUUAGACAGAGCACCAAAUCCAGCUCACUUCUUCCCAUUUAGGAAGAAAA